GGCAAACAGUGUCUCCGUGGUUCAUCCAGCACUUAAUGUCAUUACUUUAUAAUAUGUUCUGCACAAGACCUGGUAUCAAAAAGUGAGAAGACCUUUUAUGCACUUAGAGAAAAAGAAGAGAGAGGGUGUAGUUUCCCAGGAGAGGGUUUGAGCUGAGGAGUCACCCCCCUCCCUCCGACGGAGCGCGGCGAGCUUCCUGCUGGACGCUCUGACAGGAACCUUUCUGCAGAGGGGUCCGUGUGUCCGGGGGAACUUUUUAAUACUACGGGCUUUAGGCCUCACCUCCAACCACUGUCAGUAAAAACCCCUUAAAACCUGUAUUUGUUGUCUCAGUUAAAAAUGCUUUGUGUAAUGUACACCUGUGACAAUUUUUUUGUAUCAAAAGCAUUUUUAUAUAAUAAAGGUUUUAUUUUAAGGAAUUUUGUGGUGUGGCCGCGUUCACCUUUGGCUUAAGGGUCUAUGAACGCAGAGGUUUCCUGAUCGACCUUCUGAGCGCUGAAGAGAAGAGAAGACGUCCCACAUAGAGACGCAAAGUAACGUUAUCGUCAACAUGAAUAAAUACUAACAAUAAUGAGAGCAAUAAUAACAAUAUGAAUACGCUUCGUGUGAUGUCAUAAAUAGUUCUAUUACUUUGAGUUUAGUAGAAAUACCUCUGCCAAUGUUACUGCUUCAGCUGCCACUGUUAAACUAUGUGAGUUUUCACAUUAAAGCAGUCAAACAAUGAACAUGAUAAUCACAAAGUUGUUAGCAGACGGUAUGCAAGUUGUACAUCCAUGUCUCCCUGGAUAUUUGUAUACAUUUUAAUAUUCAGCCCCCAUCUCUCAUCUGGACAUGGAGACAUUAUCUCAGUAGUUAAUCAUCGUAGUGAGCUACUGACCUCUGCUGGUGUCCAAAUGCUACUGAAGCCCGCUGAAACGCUGCUGUCCCUUUUAUUCAUAAAAAGGCCUCGUCUCUUUGUUUAAUCAAAGUAGAAACAAUGAAACACAUUCAGACUUGAAUUGUAUUCAGUUUCAAUGCCACAAAAGACACAUGCACUGUAAACCACGUGACAAGUUGAUUUAUUAAAAACAGCGACGGUACCAACAAUAGUCCGACAAUAGUUAUUAUAGUUAUUAGUGUAAUAGUAUUUCUUUUAAUUAACAAUUAGUAAACCAAUUAAUAUAGAUUUACAUGCAAUAGGUGAUAAAUAUUAAAAAAAAAAAGUCAUGGGCUCGUCCGGGAUUUGAACCCGGGACCUCUCGCACCCAAAGCGAGAAUCAUACCCCUAGACCAACGAGCCGCGUGGCGGACUCCCAGACGGUAGAGCUAUUAUACUUUAUACAGCUGUAGUACUGCAUACCUGGGUAGUUAACGUAUUUGCUACUUCUAGACUAGAUUACUACAAUUGUUAUACGAGCCUCUCGGGUUGAUUCAAAAAGCUGCAGCUCGUGUUUUAGGAAACAUUCAGAAAGGGGGAUCAUAAAAGGGUAUUUUGCUUCUCUGUACUUCUCUGCUCAAGAAUAUGAUUUAAGGUUCUCCUCCUCACCUACAAGGCACCGUCGUAUCUUAAGGAGCUUAUACCACCAUAUUACCUGCUCGAGAGCUGCGUUGGGUUACUAGUAGUUUCUAACAGUCUUUAAUAGUAGGAUGGGAGCAGAGCCUUCAGUUAUCAAGCUACGAUUUAGUGGAACCAGCUUCCACUUUCAGUCAGGUCAUUUAAGAUAAAGCUUAAGACUUCCCUCUUUAAUAUGGCCUAUAGUUAGGGCUGGCUCAGGUUGCCGUGGACCAGCCCUUAGAUAAGCUGCUAUAGGCUUAGACUGCUGGGGGACUUCUUAGGACACACCGAGCUCCUUUGUAUAAGAGUUUAGCCUCACAGGUUUCCAUGGAUCAUGUCUGUAUCUGGUCCGGCCUCCUGCCGUGGCCCUGCUGACACCUACCGCUUCUAACACCAUUAUUAGCUCCUUCACUAUUACUCUCAACAUUAAUGCACAUCCCUGACUUUGUUUGUUUCCUUCCUGAAGUCUUUGUGCUUGUCACAGAUUUCUGUAGAUGGUGGUUCUAUCUGAUGGUGUUUCUAUCUGAUGGUAGUUCUCACUGAUGGUAGUUCUAUCUGAUGGUGGUUCUAUCUGAUGGUGUUUCUAACUGAUGGUAGUUCUCACUGAUGGUAGUUCUAUCUGAUGGUGGUUCUAUGUGAUGGUGGUUCUAUCUGAUGGUGUUUCUAUCGGAUGGUAGUUCUCACUGAUGGUAGUUCUAUCUGAUGGUGGUUCUAUCUGAUGGUGUUUCUAUCUGAUGGUAGUUCUCACUGAUGGUAGUUCUAUCUGAUGGUGGUUCUAUCUGAUGGUGGUUCUAUGUGAUGGUGGUUCUAUCUGAUGGUGGUUCUAUCUGAUGGUGUUUCUAUCUGAUGGUGGUUCUAUCUUAAAGUGGUUCUAUGUGAUGGUGGUUCUAUGUGAUGGUGGUUCUAUCUGAUGGUGGUUCUAUCUGAUGGUGGUUCUAUCUGAUGGUAGUUCUAUCUGAUGGUGGUUCUAUGUGAUGGUGUUUCUAUCUUAAAGUGGUUCUAUGUGAUGGUGGUUCUAUGUGAUGGUGGUUCUAUCUGAUGUUGGUUCUAUGUGAUGGUGGUUCUAUGUGAUGGUGGUUCUGUGUGAUGGUGGUUCUAUCUGAUGGUGGUUCUGUGUGAUGGUGGUUCUAUGUGAUGGUGGUUCUAUGUGAUGGUGGUUCUAUCUGAUGGUGGUUCUAUGUGAUGGUGGUUGUAUCUGAUGGUGGUUCUAUCUGAUGGUGGUUCGGUGUGAUGGUGGUUCUAUCUGAUGGUGGUUCUAUCUGAUGGUGGAUGGUGGUUGUCCCUGCAGUGGUCCUGCUGCACACCUGGUCACUGCUCUCUAUUUGAAUCAUUUCUGAGAGGAAUUGAACGUAUUGUUCAUCUUCUACAUUGUUCAUUCUGUACUCGUGACAUCAUUGCAUUCUGUCCAUCAGGAGACGGAUCCUUCUCUGAGGUUCUCACUGAGGUUUCUCAGUUUUUCUUCCUGCAGAAGGUUUCUUUCAUUUUGGGGCGUUUUGUCUGCUGAUGUGAGGGAUUUAGGACAGAGGAUGUUCCAUGUGUACAAAUGCUGUGAUUUUGGACUAUACAGAAUAUAAUGAAUUUAAAUGAUUUUAUUGGUCAUAUCUGUUGUUGGUACGUGUAAUUGCAUUGUUUGUUGGAUUUAUGCAAUACAUCAGUCUUCCUCUUAUUACUUUCUUUAGAGAUUUACUUUAAUAUACUUAUACGUUGUUCCUACAGAAACAUUUCUACGCAUGUUUAUGCAUUUGAAGGAGCUACAUUUGAA
ensembl:lncRNA